UAGACUGAAAGGGGCGGCUCCGCAGAGAUUUGGCCAGGUUAGUGACAGCGAAUUGGUUUGGAGGAACAGCUGCUGUCAGGACAGGCUUCCAGCGAGAUGGGACAUGAAGGGGUUCCAGCCAUGCCGCGUGGUUCCACAGCUGCUGGAGUGACUUAGCAGUUGGCUAGGCAUACCCUGAACUACAGAAGAUGUAUGCUGGGCCAGAAGCAGGCCUUCUUCCUGCAGACUUGGAAGGAGCUGAUGACAAAGGCCUGCCAACAGUGCUGUGACUGCCAGCGCAGUACCAUACAGAGUGGUCUCUGCUGAGCAUCUUGUUCCUCCAGUGGGAAAAGAGAACCCAAAGGGGACAACCACUCCACCUGUCAGCAUUGUGAGUUUCUUUAUAGGAGCCCCUACUCUGAUCUCUCACCAUGGGGAGUGCAUGGGAAUCUUCAGGACUCAACCACUGGGAAUCUGACUGUGAUGGAGAGUGGGGGAGGUUAUAACAACCAGCACAUGAA